UACGGAGGGAGCUAGCGUUAUUCGGAAUUACUGGGCGUAAAGCGCACGUAGGCGGCUUUGUAAGUUAGAGGUGAAAGCCUGGAGCUCAACUCCAGAAUUGCCUUUAAGACUGCAUCGCUUGAAUCCAGGAGAGGUGAGUGGAAUUCCGAGUGUAGAGGUGAAAUUCGUAGAUAUUCGGAAGAACACCAGUGGCGAAGGCGGCUCACUGGACUGGUAUUAACGCUGAGGUGCGAAAGCGUGGGGAGCAAACAGG
rnacentral:rRNA from 1 species